CCAGACUGAAAUUAGGUACAACAUCAAACUUCUCUGCUAUACAACCUUUUUAUACAAAAUGUCUACGACUGAUUAUUGAGACUUUGACAGAGUAUUUGAAAAAAGAAUUUAACAUCAUGUCUUCGAUGAUUAGCAUUUGGUAAUUUUUUACGUUUAUUUUUUAUCUUUUAAAUUUUCUGUUUGUGAUUUCAAGAUUAUUCGGAAAAAGCAAGAUAUCCAAAUUAAUUGUCAAACAUCCUUCGGGUUCUAUUGAAGUCAAAAAUGGGAAAGUGUAAUAGGCGAAAGAUGCGCAAAACACGCUGCCGGUCAAAGUCCGGCCGGUUUAAACGAUGUCGUUGUGGAGAUCGCCGAUAUUCAAUACGACCAAGGAGUCGUUGUCGACGAAGAUCGCGAUCUCGUCGGCGCAGAUCAUGUUCUCGCCGGAGCCGGGGACGGUACAACUGGAGAUGCCGAUCUCGCUCGGGGAGGUUUAAGAGAUGCAAACGCUGCGAUCGAAGAUACCGUCUAAGGAAGAGGUCGUCAUCUUAAAUUCUCGUGGUUGGAGUUAAUUGGGACUAGAUUAAAGAAGUUCUGAGUGGUUGGUGGUCUUAUUAGAAAUGUCUCAAAGCUUCUUUAGUCCAAUUCACACGUGAUCCGUCUUCACAUUUGAUGAAUCAAAAUCAAACGUUCAAUGAAAGAUGAAACGAAAAAAAAUCAAAGGAAGCGUUUCAUCUUUCAGGAGUCUUAAAGGAGACGUUUUGUAUUACAAUGGUAAUAGAAUUUUUGUGUAGUAAAUUGUUAUCAGUAUUAUCGUUCAGAAAUGUUGAAUUUAUUUUGAUAAAAUAUAUUUUUUAUUUUAUA